rnacentral:rRNA from 1 species
CCUACGGGGGGCAGCAGUGAGGAAUAUUGGUCAAUGGGCGAGAGCCUGAACCAGCCAAGUCGCGUGAAGGAUGACUGCCCUAUGGGUUUUAAACUUCUUUUAUAUGGGAAUAAAGUGUUCCACGUGUGGGAUUUUGUAUGUACCAUAUGAAUAAGGAUCGGCUAAUUCCGUGCCAGCAGCCGCGGUAAUACGGAGGAUCCGAGCGUUAUCCGGAUUUAUUGGGUUUAAAGGGAGCGUAGGUGGAUUCGUAAGUCAGUUGUGAAAGUUUGCGGCUCAACCGUAAAAUUGCAGUUGAAACUGGCAGUCUUGAGUACAGUAGAGGUAGGCGGAAUUCGUGGUGUAGCGGUGAAAUGCUUAGAUAUCACGAAGAACUCCGAUUGCGAAGGCAGCUCACUGGACUGCAACUGACACUGAGGCUCGAAAGUGUGGGUAUCAAACAGGAUUAGAUACCCGAGUAGUC